rnacentral:rRNA from 1 species
UACGUAGGGUGCGAGCGUUGUCCGGAAUUAUUGGGCGUAAAGAGCUCGUAGGCGGUUCGUCACGUCGGCUGUGAAAUCCCGAGGCUCAACCUCGGGUCUGCAGUCGAUACGGGCGGACUGGAGUACUGCAGGGGAGACUGGAAUUCCUGGUGUAGCGGUGAAAUGCGCAGAUAUCAGGAGGAACACCGGUGGCGAAGGCGGGUCUCUGGGCAGUAACUGACGCUGAGGAGCGAAAGCGUGGGGAGCGAACAGG